UUGGCAGAUAUCAUAGGAUUAUGCUAAUGAAUGACAUGAUAGUCUAUCAUUUCUGGUACUCAAAACUGGAAUUCUUAGGAUGUGGAUAAAAGAGACACAGAUUAAAGAAAUUAGGUAAAAACUAUGAAGCCCUAAAUUUAAGUAGGGGGGAGGGCAUCGGUAUAAAUUCAUGAUGUAUUUUAUCUUAAAAUGACAACGACAAAACAUAUUACCCAUCUUAGUCCACAAAAAAGGCCUAGAAACCGGGGCACCUGGGUGGCUCAGUCGG